GACGAACGCUGGCGGCGUGCCUAAUACAUGCAAGUCGAGCGAAUUUUUGGGAGCUUGCUCCCAAAGGUUAGCGGCGGACGGGUGAGUAACACGUGGGCAACCUGCCUAUAAGACUGGGAUAACUUCGGGAAACCAGAGCUAAUACCGGAUAAUUCAUAUCUACUCAUGUAGGUAUGCUGAAAGACGGUUUACGCUGUCACUUAUAGAUGGGCCCGCGGCGCAUUAGCUAGUUGGUGAGGUAACGGCUCACCAAGGCGACGAUGCGUAGCCGACCUGAGAGGGUGAUCGGCCACACUGGGACUGAGACACGGCCCAGACUCCUACGGGAGGCAGCAGUAGGGAAUCUUCCGCAAUGGACGAAAGUCUGACGGAGCAACGCCGCGUGAGUGAUGAAGGUUUUCGGAUCGUAAAACUCUGUUGUUAGGGAAGAACAAGUACUAGAGUAACUGCUAGUACCUUGACGGUACCUAACCAGAAAGCCACGGCUAACUACGUGCCAGCCGCCGCGGUAACAC
rnacentral:rRNA from 1 species